UACGUAGGUGGCAAGCGUUGUCCGGAUUUACUGGGCGUAAGGGAUGUGUAGGCGGAUACUUAAGUGAGAUGUGAAAGCCCCGGGCUCAACCUGGGGACUGCAUUUCAAACUGGGUAUCUAGAGUGCAGGAGAGGAAAGCGGAAUUCCUAGUGUAGCGGUGAAAUGCGUAGAGAUUAGGAAGAACAUCAGUGGCGAAGGCGGCUUUCUGGACUGUAACUGACGCUGAGGCAUGAAAGCGUGGGGAGCAAACAGGAUUAGAUACCCUGGUAGUCCACGCCGUAAACGAUGAGUACUAGGUGUAGGAGGUAUCGACUCCUUCUGUGCCGCAGCAAACGCAUUAAGCACUCCGCCUGGGGAGUACGACCGCAAGGUUGAA
rnacentral:rRNA from 1 species